rnacentral:lncRNA from 1 species
UCCUGUUGUGGUAUGAUCCGUUUGAUCUAAUUUUUUGCUAAGGGGUUAAAUUUUGCUAUGAAAGAAGGCUCCCAGAGACUUACUUACCUACAUCAUUUGAUGAUUUGCUGUCCAUUUUUUUUGUAGUUAAAAGUUUUGCAUUCAUGUUUUGUUCUGAUUUGUUGGAAUUGGAAGGCAUUCUCCACAAACCCCCUUUGUGUGAUGACUUGAACGGUAUUAUUGAUAUUAGCUCUUAAUAUCUUUGGAAUAGUGUGCUUUAGCCUUUACCUUCUCAUAGCUGUUAUCUAGUUUGCUUUUUAUUUUCUUUCUUUUAUUGGAUCAAGUUACUCAGCUACUGGGUUUUGGUCCUCUUGUUCUUAUGUUCCAUUCUUGUUGAGGUCUCUGUUUUCUAUUUAACCUAAGUAUCUCACUAGGUUGUUUUGAGAUAUGCAACGAGGUGGAAAUUUGUGAUUGGGGUCAAUUAGAUGGUCUUCAGCUGAUGACCUCUUUUUUCCUCUUCUUUAUUUUGAGAAUGAUUAAUCAAUAAUCUUAUUUUGUUCAUGCACCCAAUUCGCUUUUUGAUGCUUCACGAUAUGAGGUUUUUUUUGUCAAAAUGUCUUGGAAGAAGUGGGGAUGGAUGAAGAUAUCCCUUUAAUUGUUUGUUAGGGAAGAGGUAGGUUUCAGUUCACUGCUAUGCUAUGUUACUUUAAUUAUUGCAUUAUAAAACUUAAUUCCCAGACAACGGAAAUGAAAAAGUUUUAACUCUUUUCUUUAUCCUUCGAGUUGUGCUUACAUGUGUUUGCUUUGAAAAAAUUUUGGAUGUGGUUUUCUGUUAGCGGGUCACACAUCUUUUAGUGAUAUAUUUAAGGAGUUCUUUCUCCGUCGGUCGCUUUCAAGAAGAGGGAUUUUGUAAAGACCCUAGAUAGGAAAAUAGUGGAUUACUGGUAGAAAAUGUAGAAAAUAAAAAUAGUAGUUAACAAACAUAUUAGUAAAUAGUUAGUAAGUUGGUUACAUCUUUUUGUUAUAUAUAGUAUGGGAGAGGGGUUGAAAAGAGGUGUGAAGAAUUUUGAAGAAAUAUUUCCUUGUAAGGGAACCUUGAGAAAGUCCAGCCCUCUCAAAAGGCUAGGAUUACUUGUUCUUAUGAUCUUCUAGUAUAUAUUUCAUAUUUGAAUGUUCUGUUAAGAGUUAUUGAGUUCAUCUUAUUUUAUUGAGAUAAUUCUGGUUAGGUGAGAUCCUAACAAAUUAGUAUCAGAGCUGUAACAUUUUGUGGAUGACACAGGUUAUGUGUAGAAACAAAACAGAGGAGAGGUUGGAAAAGAAUGAAGACAUUAGGGAGCUUAAAUAUUUAGAGUUGUCCAAAAGAGUUGAAAGGAUGGCAGAGGAAUUACGAGAAAAUAGUGUUCAUCAUCUACGAAAAGAAUCUAGUAUGUCGAAGAAAGUUGAAAGGAUGGCAGAGGAAUUACGAGAAAAUAGUGUUCAUCAUCUACGAAAAGAAACUAGUAUGUCGAAGAAAUUUGUGUUGAAAAGUAAAGGAAGGAUGGAAGAAAGCACGGGCACGAUUGAGAAAGGGACUUGGGAGUAAACACCUAAAUGCGCUGUGGUUGAAAGAGGAGAGACUCUAUGAAUAUGGGAGUAGAUGCAGAAAUGGAUUGUAGAUUGCAAAGAGAAGAAUACAUAGGCAUGCUAUAUCAAUGCAUCAAAAGCUUUCUAAAGGGCUGCAAAGUGAUAAAGAAAGAGAGGGGAAGAAACUAGCAAAAAUCAAAGUUAGAGAAAAAGAGAAAUGGAAAAAUGACUUGAAGAUGAAGGAAUCAAAAAAACGAGCAUGAAAAAAAUGGAGGAAAGAGGAAGCCAAAUCUAAUUGUACAUUCUUAUGACCAACGAUGAAAGGUGAAGUGGUCGGAGACAAAUACUGAGUGGAAAUGGAAACACUAAACAUAGGAGGCAGAAGCAUGGGAGAAGAGACGGUUACUAUUGACGAGAAGGGAAAGUGUAUGAAAAAUGAAUGAUUGAGAGAGUUAUCCCUGACCCUACAAGAAAAUGAAAAUCUC